AAUGGGUCAGCGACUUAUAUUCUGUAGCAAGGUUAACCGAAUAGGGGAGCCGAAGGGAAACCGAGUCUUAACUGGGCGUUAAGUUGCAGGGUAUAGACCCGAAACCCGGUGAUCUAGCCAUGGGCAGGUUGAAGGUUGGGUAACACUAACUGGAGGACCGAACCGACUAAUGUUGAAAAAUUAGCGGAUGACUUGUGGCUGGGGGUGAAAGGCCAAUCAAACCGGGAGAUAGCUGGUUCUCCCCGAAAGCUAUUUAGGUAGCGCCUCGUGAAUUCAUCUCCGGGGGUAGAGCACUGUUUCGGCAAGGGGGUCAUCCCGACUUACCAACCCGAUGCAAACUGCGAAUACCGGAGAAUGUUAUCACGGGAGACACACGGCGGGUGCUAACGUCCGUCGUGAAGAGGGAAACAACCCAGACCGCCAGCUAAGGUCCCAAAGUCAUGGUUAAGUGGGAAACGAUGUGGGAAGGCCCAGACAGCCAGGAUGUUGGCUUAGAAGCAGCCAUCAUUUAAAGAAAGCGUAAUAGCUCACUGGUCGAGUCGGCCUGCGCGGAAGAUGUAACGGGGCUAAACCAUGCACCGAAGCUGCGGCAGCGACGCUUAUGCGUUGUUGGGUAGGGGAGCGUUCUGUAAGCCUGUGAAGGUGUACUGUGAGGUAUGCUGGAGGUAUCAGAAGUGCGAAUGCUGACAUAAGUAACGAUAAAGCGGGUGAAAAGCCCGCUCGCCGGAAGACCAAGGGUUCCUGUCCAACGUUAAUCGGGGCAGGGUGAGUCGACCCCUAAGGCGAGGCCGAAAGGCGUAGUCGAUGGGAAACAGGUUAAUAUUCCUGUACUUGGUGUUACUGCGAAGGGGGGACGGAGAAGGCUAUGUUGGCCGGGCGACGGUUGUCCCGGUUUAAGCGUGUAGGCUGGUUUUCCAGGCAAAUCCGGAAAAUCAAGGCUGAGGCGUGAUGACGAGGCACUACGGUGCUGAAGCAACAAAUGCCCUGCUUCCAGGAAAAGCCUCUAAGCAUCAGGUAACAUCAAAUCGUACCCCAAACCGACACAGGUGGUCAGGUAGAGAAUACCAAGGCGCUUGAGAGAACUCGGGUGAAGGAACUAGGCAAAAUGGUGCCGUAACUUCGGGAGAAGGCACGCUGAUAUGUAGGUGAAGUCCCUCGCGGAUGGAGCUGAAAUCAGUCGAAGAUACCAGCUGGCUGCAACUGUUUAUUAAAAACACAGCACUGUGCAAACACGAAAGUGGACGUAUACGGUGUGACGCCUGCCCGGUGCCGGAAGGUUAAUUGAUGGGGUUAGCGGUAACGCGAAGCUCUUGAUCGAAGCCCCGGUAAACGGCGGCCGUAACUAUAACGGUCCUAAGGUAGCGAAAUUCCUUGUCGGGUAAGUUCCGACCUGCACGAAUGGCGUAAUGAUGGCCAGGCUGUCUCCACCCGAGACUCAGUGAAAUUGAACUCGCUGUGAAGAUGCAGUGUACCCGCGGCAAGACGGAAAGACCCCGUGAACCUUUACUAUAGCUUGACACUGAACAUUGAGCCUUGAUGUGUAGGAUAGGUGGGAGGCUUUGAAGUGUGGACGCCAGUCUGCAUGGAGCCGACCUU
rnacentral:rRNA from 1 species